rnacentral:rRNA from 1 species
CAGUCGAGCGGAGAUGAGGUGCUUGCACCUUAUCUUAGCGGCGGACGGGUGAGUAAUGCUUAGGAAUCUGCCUAUUAGUGGGGGACAACAUUCCGAAAGGAAUGCUAAUACCGCAUACGCCCUACGGGGGAAAGCAGGGGAUCUUCGGACCUUGCGCUAAUAGAUGAGCCUAAGUCGGAUUAGCUAGUUGGUGGGGUAAAGGCCUACCAAGGCGACGAUCUGUAGCGGGUCUGAGAGGAUGAUCCGCCACACUGGGACUGAGACACGGCCCAGACUCCUACGGGAGGCAGCAGUGGGGAAUAUUGGACAAUGGGCGGAAGCCUGAUCCAGCCAUGCCGCGUGUGUGAAGAAGGCCUUUUGGUUGUAAAGCACUUUAAGCGAGGAGGAGGCUACUUAGAUUAAUACUCUAGGAUAGUGGACGUUACUCGCAGAAUAAGCACCGGCUAACUCUGUGCCAGCAGCCGCGGUAAUACAGAGGGUGCGAGCGUUAAUCGGAUUUACUGGGCGUAAAGCGUGCGUAGGCGGCUGAUUAAGUCGGAUGUGAAAUCCCUGAGCUUAACUUAGGAAUUGCAUUCGAUACUGGUCAGCUAGAGUAUGGGAGAGGAUGGUAGAAUUCCAGGUGUAGCGGUGAAAUGCGUAGAGAUCUGGAGGAAUACCGAUGGCGAAGGCAGCCAUCUGGCCUAAUACUGACGCUGAGGUACGAAAGCAUGGGGAGCAAACAGGAUUAGAU